rnacentral:misc_RNA from 1 species
GUCAGCACCAUCACUUUGCCCAAACAACCAGUCUGAUCCUUCCAAUUUCAGAAGUUUGACAAUGCAGUCUCUGAAUGACUGGAGCAGCCUGGCCUCUGAAUUAACAACGAAAGAAGCUUCUUGACUAAUUGAAUGCAGCCUCCCAAUUCCUUUACUCUCAGAAUUGCUAUUUCUAUCCAAACCAAAUUGCUCAGAAGGCUGUCUGUACCAGAAAGAUCCAGAAUCCAAACGAGGAUUCAUUUGUGGUGAUAAUGCACCACCAUAGACAUUUGACGGAGAAAGUUCAUCAAAUGCUAAAGGAGCAACUGAUCUUGAACCAGAAUUUGUGUAAGACACUCCACGAGCAGUUACUCUACUGAUAGAUGAUCCAUAACCAGUCACAUGAUCCCACUGAGAACUCUUAUCUGAUACGUGCUGAUCACGAUGAAUAUCAGGCAAGCUAUGGUAUUUCUUUGUAUUAGAUACAUUCGAUAAAUUCUCACCAGUUCCAGACGCAGAAAGAUCAUAAUAUUGGCCGUCAGAUUCAGAAGAAGGAUUCCUGGAUACUGCGAAGUUGGAGAAUCCAGGGGAAGG